UUCUGGGCAUGUUUUCCUUUGGAAGUCUCACCAGGCUGAGCAGGACUUAGAGGAACUCCGGCUACGUUUGCUGUCCCAACAAAUAGACCAGAGCCUCACACUUGCUGCCUCCUCUGCCUGGAACUCUCUCCCUCUGCUCUCACAGGGUUCCCUAAGUGUCGCUUCCUCCAAGAAGCCCUCCCUGAUGAGUUGAGCCACUUUAGUUUGUGCUCAGGCUCACCCUGCACGUCUUGGUUGCUCUCAUCACUGUAAUGAUCUAAAACACACGUCUGCUCAUGAGACCCGCAUCCCACCCCCGAUGCUGGGGCCGCUCUUGGAUUUUCAUGCCUGCUGCCAGCACCCAGGGGGAGCUCCGGAAAUGUCUGCUGGGGGCUCGGAAUACCCACCUUUCUGGUAAUGCAGCCCAGCGGGUCCCAGCCUCGUUUUCCAGCCCUCACUCAAAAUGGAGUCGCUCUGGUUCGAACGCCUCUGACAAGUGUGUACCUACGUGUCAGGGAGCCUGCUCACAUGACCGUGUGGAGAAAGUUCUUUCCCUGAGGACCAUCUGGAGUGGACGCGUGCACUACCCCUCUCUGAAUACACCCUCCCCACGAGGCCCUCUGGAGCAUCCUGUAGAGCCAGCCCCUACCCAGAGACCCUGAGCCCAGAGAAUGCGCUGGGUGGUGAGCCUGGGGACGAAUGCAGAGCCCUAGGUCUCCUCUCCAGAAAGACCGGAUUUUGCCAUGUUGGCCAGGCUGGUCUUGAACUCCUGACCUCAAGUGAUCCACCUGCCUCGGCCUCCCAAAGUGCAGGGAUUACAGGUGUGAGCCACUGCACCCGGCCUCAGGCAGGUAUUUUUACCAGCCGAAUACUCUUGCACUGUGCACUCUUCGUGUUCAUCAUCAGUCCCCCGGAUGGGUGUUUAAGGCAUUUCCAAAGCUCUGUUAUUAAAAACACGAUGCAAUGAGUUUCUUUCAGCAUUUCCCCUUGUUGCCGUGUGAAUGCGUCCGUGGUAUAACUUCCUAAAAGUGGAAUCGCUUGGUCAAAGGGUGGGUGCAUUUAGCAACCUGAUGGCUUUCCAGGAGACAAGUGCUGCCUCCCGGCCACGAGCUUUUAAGAAGAACUGUUGAUGGAACCCGAGCUGGAGUCCCAGGGACCGGGGCGAGUUCUCCAUCCCAGGGGAUUUUCAGAUGGGACACUGGGGAGAAGCUGCCCUGCCCAUCUGAACUCUAUGAUCCCAGUACUAACACUGGUAGCUGUGCCAUCCCCAGUAUAGAGACAGCACCGUGCUCUUGGGAGGGUGAGUCAUUGGCCCCCG
rnacentral:lncRNA from 10 species